GCCCGGGUGGCUCAGUCGGUUGGGCGUCUGACUUCAGCUCAGGUCAUGAUCUCACGGUUCGUGAGUUCGAGGCCCACGUCGGGCU
rnacentral:tRNA from 1 species